GUGCUCGCUCAGCAGCACAUAUACUAAAAUUGUAACGAUACAGAGAAGAUUACCACGGCCCCUGCACAAGGAAGAUACACAAAUUCAUGAAGUGUUCCAUAUUUUA
ensembl:snRNA U6 U6 spliceosomal RNA